rnacentral:rRNA from 1 species
AUACGGAGGAUGCAAGCGUUGUUCGGAAUUACUGGCGUAAAGCGCGUGCAGGCGGUAAGGUAAGUCAGAUGUGAAAGCCCCGGGCUCAACCCGGGAAGUGCAUUUGAUACUGCCUUUCUUGAGUAUGGGAGAGGAGAGUGGAAUUCCCAGUGUAGAGGUGAAAUUCGUAGAUAUUGGGAGGAACACCCGUGGCGAAGGCGACUCUCUGGACCAAUACUGACGCUGAGACGCGAAAGCGUGGGGAGCGAACAGGAUUAGAAACCCCAGUAGUCC